CAAGUAGUCUUUGCAGUAAAUGAUGAAUGCCAUAGGUUAGAUUAAUAGUUAAUGUUUAUAGGCUAAUUAUUGGCUUAGCUUAGCAAACUAAUGCUAUAGACUAGACAUUAAAAAUUAUUUGGUCUAUAAAUGAAAGUGUAAGCAUUUCACCUCAAGAGUAAUGUGGCAACGCAGGAACUGAAAUCACUAGACCGUUUCUGACACCAGUAGUGAAG
rnacentral:rRNA from 1 species